rnacentral:rRNA from 1 species
UGCAAGUCGAGGGGCAUCAGUUUGGUUUGCUUGCAAACCAAAGCUGGCGACCGGCGCACGGGUGAGUAACACGUAUCCAACCUGCCUCAUACUCGGGGAUAGCCUUUCGAAAGAAAGAUUAAUACCCGAUAGUAUAAUUAGACCGCAUGGUCUUAUUAUUAAAGAAUUUCGGUUAUCGAUGGGGAUGCGUUCCAUUAGGUUGUUGGCGGGGUAACGGCCCACCAAGCCUUCGAUGGAUAGGGGUUCUGAGAGGAAGGUCCCCACAUUGGAACUGAGACACGGUCCAAACUCC